rnacentral:rRNA from 1 species
UACGUAGGUGGCAAGCGUUGUCCGGAUUUACUGGGUGUAAAGGGUGCGCAGGCGGGACUGUAAGUUGGAUGUGAAAUGUCGGGGCUCAACCCCGGAACUGCAUCCAAAACUACAGUUCUUGAGUGAAGUAGAGGUAGGCGGAAUUCCGAGUGUAGCGGUGAAAUGCGUAGAUAUUCGGAGGAACACCAGUGGCGAAGGCGGCCUACUGGGCUUUAACUGACGCUGAGGCACGAAAGCAUGGGGAGCAAACAGG